rnacentral:rRNA from 1 species
UACGUAGGGUGCAAGCGUUAAUCGGAAUUACUGGGCGUAAAGCGUGCGCAGGCGGUUGUGCAAGACAGAUGUGAAAUCCCCGGGCUUAACCUGGGAAUUGCAUUUGCGACUGCACGGCUAGAGUGUGUCAGAGGGGGGUAGAAUUCCACGUGUAGCAGUGAAAUGCGUAGAUAUGUGGAGGAAUACCGAUGGCGAAGGCAGCCCCCCUGGGAUAACACUGACGCUCAUGCACGAAAGCGUGGGGAGCAAACAGG